UUUGGGUUGAGCAUGUCACAAUAACUGAGCAAUUAUCAUUUAUUGUUGGAUCGUUGGUGCUAACUAUUAAUUCCAAAAGUUCGAGCUAUUAGAAAUACGCAACCAAUUCACUUAGGUAUCGUUUGGUUCGGGGAUAAAAAAAAAAGUGGCUGUUCCAGGAAUAGGUAUAAAUUGAGGUAUAAGUGAGGAUUAGAUCAAUUUUGCGUUUGGAUGAAAAUUGGGUUAUUCCUGGAAUAAAAAAAAUAGCGUUUGGUUAGGUAAGAUGGAAUAAGAAAGAUAAUAGGUUUUGUAAAUAAAAAAUAAUGAUAUUAUCCACUUAUUAUAUUUGAAUUUGAAUUUUUAAAUUUUUAAAUUUAUAUUUCUAAAUUUAAAAUUUUAACUUUGAAAUUUAAAAUCUCAAAUUUUAAAUUCAAAAUUUUAAAUUUUAAAUUUCAAACUUUAAAUUUAAGAUCAUAUUUAAAUUAAAAAAAUAUAAAAUAUCAAAUUUUAAAUUUCAAAAAUUUAAAAUAUCAAAAUUUAAAUUUAAAAUUUAAAAUUUAUAAUUUAAAUUUUAAACUUUAAUUUUGAGAUUAUAAAUUAUAAAUUUUAAAAAUUUAAAUUUUUAAUUUUUAAAAUUUUAAAAUAAGAAUAGUGGUGGGAACAAUUAAUAAAAAUAAUUUAUUAUAAUAAAUUUAUAAUUUUUUUAAAAAUUCUACUUAAACUUAAAUUUAAUAAAAAAAAUUUAUUAUAAUAUUUAAAUAUAAUUUAUUAUAAAUUUUAUUAUAAUAUUUAAAUAUAAAUAAUAUGUAUUAAUAUAGUACAAUUAAUAAUUUUAUAAUAAAAAUAAUGUAUUAUAAUAUAUAACAUAUUAUAUUUAUAUAAUUUAGUUUAAUUCAAUUUAUAAGUUUAAUUAAGUUUGAAAUUAAGCAUUGGAAUAGCACUAUUCCACCAAAAUGGUGGAAUAGCAAAUCCCUUGCUAUUUCGGGAUAACCGAGAAUAGCAAGGUUUGACCGGGAUAAAAUAUUCCGGCCAAAUUUUACCCCGUUUGGCGGAAUAGCGGGGAUAACAAAAGUUAUCCCCGCUUAUCCCGCGAUCCAAACGGGGCCUUAAAGCGUACAGAUACAGCGCCUACGGGUCCUAUCUAGCCUCACGCCAUAUCGAACAUGACUCGACCCAACAUGGCCUCCCGUUACAGAGCAGGAUGCUGGCCCAUUUAAGUCAACAAUCCCACAUUUGGGGCAUGCGGGAAUCGAACCUGUGACCUCUGUCUCUGAUACUACUUGUCAGAUUGAU
rnacentral:lncRNA from 1 species